rnacentral:rRNA from 1 species
CCUACGGGUGGCAGCAGUGAGGAAUAUUGGUCAAUGGGCGUAAGCCUGAACCAGCCAAGUCGCGUGAGGGAUGAAGGUUCUAUGGAUCGUAAACCCUUUUUAUAAGGGAAUAAAGUGCGGGACGUGUCCCGUUUUGCAUGUACCUUAUGAAUAAGGAUCGGCUAACUCCGUGCAAGCAGCCGCGGUAAUACGGAGGAUCCGAGCGUUAUCCGGAUUUAUUGGGUUUAAAGGGUGCGUAGGCGGCCUUUUAAGUCAGCGGUGAAAGUCUGUGGCUCAACCAUGGAAUUGCCGUUGAAACUGGGAGGCUUGAGUAUGUUUGAGGCAGGCGGAAUUCGUGGUGUAGCGGUGAAAUGCGUAGAUAUCACGAAGAACCCCGGUGGCGAAGGCAGCCUGC